AGACAAAAGAUGAAAUUCUAGUGCUUUCAAGCUCUCCUGGGCAGGAUGGCUUUUCUUGAGAAGGAAAACAUUAUAGCUCCAGCAACACCAAGGAUCUCACCCAAUGUGCCAGACUGAAGGUGGAAAAUACCAUGCUUCCUGAGAUAUCCUAGGCAUCUAACUCAAAGGAUGCUGAACAGUGGCCUGGAGACACCAUGAAUUACCUGAGAUAAUUGAAUUAGGGAAUGGAAAAGGAGUACAUUCCACACAAAGGGGAAACAUGGACGGAAAUCCCAGAAGUAAAGAAAGAACACAGUUUUUGGCAAAUCACUAGAAGCAAUAUUUUUAAUCAAUGAAGUGGAUCUAAUUUGGAUUUCAGAUGCACAGAGAAAGAGAGACAGGGGAGUGGGAAGGAAGAAGUUUCCUAAUACAGCUGAGCCAGUAGAAGGCAGCAAUUCCUCAAACUGGGCAAUCAAUGAAGAUGAUCCAAUGAAAAGGAAGUUGCUCAAUUCAUGUUGGGAGUGGACCCAAUGAGGAACAGCUUCUGCUUUAGGAGACUGUGGGAGACAAUGCCAUCAAAGGACUGAGAUACAGCUUGGUGUCCCCUUUCCCUGUUGCACUAUUUUUUUAUUUUGCACACCUCUUGGCAGAACUUUGGGUGUGAUCCAAUGUGCCUAUAUUUCAAGGGGAAUCACUAAUACAUAAAGAGCUGUUAACCGCCUCUACAUCCCUAGGUAGUGUCCAAAGGCUGUAUUAGUGUCCUGAACAGUUAACAGGCAUGGGCAAAGUGAAUUAGGAGUUGGCAAACAAAUUUCUUUGGCUACUUUAACACACAAUUAAUAAAUCUAUCUUUUCUUAUGUGUCCGGUUUGAA
rnacentral:lncRNA from 1 species